rnacentral:rRNA from 1 species
GAGAGCUCCGAAUUGAAGCCCCGGUGAACGGCGGCGUAACAAUAACGGUCCUAAGGUAGCGAAAUUCCUUGUCGGGUAAGUUCCGACCUGCACGAAUGGUGUAACGAUUUGAGUGCUGUCUUGGCGGAGGCCUGGUGAAGUUGUAUUAUGGGUGAAGAUACCCAUUACCUGCAGCAGGACGGAAAGACCCCAUGGAGCUUUACUGUAGCUUGGUAUUGGGUCUUGAUGCUGUGUGUAUAGGAUAGUUGGGAGACUUUGAUUGUAGGCCGCCAGGUUUACAUGAGUCGUUGGUGGAAUACCAACCACGCAGUAUUGGGAUUCUAAUCUGAGGUUUGUAGCCUCGGAGACAGUGCUAGGUGGGCAGUUUGACUGGGGCGGUCGCCUCCGAAAGAGUAACGGAGGCGCUCAAAGGUUCCCUCAGGUUGGAUGGAAAUCAACCGCAGAGUGCAAAGGCAUAAGGGAGCUUGACUGCAAGACUGACAAGUCGAGCAGGUGCGAAAGCAGGACUUAGUGAUCCGGCU